CUUCUUUUUCCCCGGAGCUUGCUCCACCGGAAAAAGAGGAGUGGCGAACGGGUGAGUAACACGUGGGUAACCUGCCCAUCAGAAGGGGAUAACACUUGGAAACAGGUGCUAAUACCGUAUAACAAUCAAAACCGCAUGGUUUUGAUUUGAAAGGCGCUUUCGGGUGUCGCUGAUGGAUGGACCCGCGGUGCAUUAGCUAGUUGGUGAGGUAACGGCUCACCAAGGCCACGAUGCAUAGCCGACCUGAGAGGGUGAUCGGCCACAUUGGGACUGAGACACGGCCCAAACUCCUACGGGAGGCAGCAGUAGGGAAUCUUCGGCAAUGGACGAAAGUCUGACCGAGCAACGCCGCGUGAGUGAAGAAGGUUUUCGGAUCGUAAAACUCUGUUGUUAGAGAAGAACAAGGAUGAGAGUAACUGUUCAUCCCUUGACGGUAUCUAACCAGAAAGCCACGGCUAACUACGUGCCAGCAGCCGCGGUAAUACGUAGGUGGCAAGCGUUGUCCGGAUUUAUUGGGCGUAAAGCGAGCGCAGGCGGUUUCUUAAGUCUGAUGUGAAAGCCCCCGGCUCAACCGGGGAGGGUCAUUGGAAACUGGGAGACUUGAGUGCAGAAGAGGAGAGCGGAAUUCCAUGUGUAGCGGUGAAAUGCGUAGAUAUAUGGAGGAACGCCAGUGGCGAAGGCGGCUCUCUGGUCUGUAACUGACGCUGAGGCUCGAAAGCGUGNGGAGCAAACAGGAUUAGAUACCCUGGUAGUCCANGCCGUAAACGAUGAGUGCUAAGUGUUGGAGGGUUUCCGCCCUUCAGUGCUGCAGCUAACGCA
rnacentral:rRNA from 1 species